AUUGAACGCUGGCGGCAUGCUUUACACAUGCAAGUCGAACGGCAGCACGGGUGCUUGCACCUGGUGGCGAGUGGCGAACGGGCGAGUAAUGCAUCGGAACGUGCCCAUGAGUGGGGGAUAGCCCGGCGAAAGCCGGAUUAAUACCGCAUACGCCCUUAGGGGGAAAGCGGGGGAUCUUCGGACCUCGCGCUAUUGGAGCGGCCGAUGUCGGAUUAGCUAGUAGGUGAGGUAAAGGCUCACCUAGGCGACGAUCCGUAGCUGGUCUGAGAGGAUGAUCAGCCACACUGGGACUGAGACACGGCCCAGACUCCUACGGGAGGCAGCAGUGGGGAAUUUUGGACAAUGGGCGCAAGCCUGAUCCAGCCAUGCCGCGUGAGUGAAGAAGGCCUGG
rnacentral:rRNA from 1 species